rnacentral:rRNA from 1 species
UACGUAGGGUGCGAGCGUUACUCGGAAUUACUGGGCGUAAAGCGUGCGCAGGCGGCUUGCCAAGUCAGAUGUGAAAGCCCCGGGCUCAACCCGGGAACGGCGUUAGAAACUGGCAGGCUAGAGUUUGGCAGAGGGGGGUGGAAUUCCACGUGUAGCAGUGAAAUGCGUAGAGAUGUGGAGGAACACCGAUGGCGAAGGCAGCCCCCUGGGCCAAAACUGACGCUCAGGCACGAAAGCGUGGGGAGCAAACAGG